CGCAGUCACAAAUAUUUGUUCAAACACUCAAGAAGAACAUGAUGAAGAAAAAAUCAGAAUCUGCAACAUACAAUUAUUGAGCUCAAAGAGUACUUGGUACGGACUCUUUACAUUUCGUUUACAGCAAAAUAGUAACUAUUCUGAUUACUAUUAGUAACUAUCAAUAUCCGUUUCUGGCCCUCAAAGGUAGUAACGCAGACGGUUCACCAACAUCUGUAGGUUUAUAGAGAAAUCAGUAUCAGAGAGAGGAGUGCCAGCGAGAGAAAGAAAUUCACGAGGCAUCAUAAAAUGAUAUAAUAAUGGCUUGGUCACCGAGAAGAAUAUAUAAGUAAAUAUCAAGUGACCCCAGCAUUUGAUUGAAAAAGGUGGAAUGAUGGACAUAUUGCCUGAAGAGCUGUUUAUUUUUUACAGCAUUGACACAUAAACAAUUCCCUGAAGGAAAUGUUUAAUGCUGCGCCUUCGUAGCAUGACGUGAAAUUUGUCUUUGGCUACAAGUCCCUAUUGAAAGACACGAAAAUUUGAAGACAGUAAGAAUACAGAACUGGAAGCCUGGGUCCGAG
rnacentral:lncRNA from 1 species